rnacentral:rRNA from 1 species
GAUGAACGCUGGCGGCGUGCUUAACACAUGCAAGUCGAACGAGAAGUGAAGACGGAAACCUUCGGGCGGAAGGCUUUAUUUCGAGUGGCGGACGGGUGAGUAACGCGUGGGUAACCUGCCUCAUACAGGGGGAUAACAGUUGGAAACGACUGUUAAUACCGCAUAAGACCACAGCACCGCAUGGUGCGGGGGUAAAAACUCCGGUGGUAUGAGAUGGACCCGCGUUCGAUUAGCCAGUUGGCGGGGUAACGGCCCACCAAAGCGACGAUCGAUAGCCGAUCUGAGAGGAUGACCGGCCACAUUGGGACUGAGACACGGCCCAAACUCCUACGGGAGGUAGCAGUGGGGAAUAUUGCACAAUGGGGGAAACCCUGAUGCAGCGACGCCGCGUGAGUGAAGAAGUAUUUCGGUAUGUAAAGCUCUAUCAGCAGGGAAGAAAAUGACGGUACCUGAGUAAGAAGCCCCGGCUAACUACGUG